rnacentral:rRNA from 1 species
AGCGAACGCUGGCGGCAGGCUUAACACAUGCAAGUCGAACGGGCGUAGCAAUACGUCAGUGGCAGACGGGUGAGUAACGCGUGGGAACGUACCUUUUGGUUCGGAACAACACAGGGAAACUUGUGCUAAUACCGGAUAAGCCCUUACGGGGAAAGAUUUAUCCCCGAAAGAUCGGCCCGCGUCUGAUUAGCUAGUUGGUGAGGUAACGGCUCACCAAGGCGACGAUCAGUAGCUGGUCUGAGAGGAUGAUCAGCCACAUUGGGACUGAGACACGGCCCAAACUCCUACGGGAGGCAGCAGUGGGGAAUAUUGGACAAUGGGCGCAAGCCUGAUCCAGCCAUGCCGCGUGAGUGAUGAAGGCCCUAGGGUUGUAAAGCUCUUUUGUGCGGGAAGAUAAUGACGGUACCGCAAGAAUAAGCCCCGGCUAACUUCGUGCCAGCAGCCGCGGUAAUACGAAGGGGGCUAGCGUUGCUCGGAAUCACUGGGCGUAAAGGGUGCGUAGGCGGGUCUUUAAGUCAGAGGUGAAAUCCUGGAGCUCAACUCCAGAACUGCCUUUGAUACUGAGGAUCUUGAGUUCGGGAGAGGUGAGUGGAACUGCGAGUGUAGAGGUGAAAUUCGUAGAUAUUCGCAAGAACACCAGUGGCGAAGGCGGCUCACUGGCCCGAUACUGACGCUGAGGCACGAAAGCGUGGGGAGCAAACAGG